rfam:Jatropha curcas cultivar GZQX0401 C18528211_1, whole genome shotgun sequence.
CAGCCAUGGUGAGGGCACUGCAUUUGGACAUCCUGAUAUCUCUCCCGGGCCUCAAAAAGACUUUCAUCAGGUUUCUGCCUAAAGGUGGCAAUCUUUGUUUUCAACUU